UUGUGAAAAAUUAUUAUUUUUAAAUUUAUAAUAUAUAUUUAAUAAAAAAAAUUUAUUUUUAGUAUUAUUUAAGAAAAAAAUUAUUUAAUUAUAGAUAAUUAGUAUUGUGAAAGAAAUUUUAAAUAAAAAAUAAAGAAAAAUUUUUUUGUACCUUGUGUAUCAGGGUUAAUUAAUUUAUAAUUAUAUAAUAUUUUCUCGAAUUUAAAAGAGCUAAGAUAAUAUAAAUUUAUUGUAGAAUAAAUAUAUUUAAUUUUAUUUUAGUAAUGAAAUGUUAUUCGUUUUUAAUAUAUCUAGUUAUUUAAGAAAAAAGUUUAAUUUUAUAAUUAAUAAUUAAUUUAUUGUUUAGUUAGUAAAUUAUUGUUAAUUAGUUAUUUAUAAGGGGAUGAGCUUUUAUAAAUAUAAUUAAAAAUUUAAUUUUUAAUGAAAAGAUAUAGGAUUAGAAUUUUCCAUUAGUUUAAUUAUGUUAUGAUUAAUUUUUUUAUAUAUAAAAUUUAUAAUUAUUUUAAUUUUUUUAUUAAAUUAUAUAAUUUAUUUUUAUCUUUGUAGAAAUAAUGAUUAAAUUAGUAAUAUAUUUUGUGUAAUUAAAUUUAAUAGUUUAGGUUAAUUAAAGGAAUUCGGCAAAUUAUUUUUCACCUGUUUAUUAAAAACAUGGCCUUUUGAGUAUAAUUUAAGGUCUGGCCUGCCCACUGAGUAUUAAAGGGCCGCGGUAUUUUGACCGUGCUAAGGUAGCAUAAUCAUUAGUUUUUUAAUUGAAAGCUGGAAUGAAUGGUUGGAUGAAAAAAUAACUGUCUCUAAUUAAUUUUUAAUGAAUUUUAUUUAUAAGUAAAAAAGCUUAUAUGAUUUUAAAAGACGAGAAGACCCUAUAGAGUUUUAUAUUUUGAAUUAGUAAGAUUUUAGAAUUUAAAAUUUACUGAGUAAGAUUUAUUUGAUUGGGGUGAUUGAAAAAUUAAUUAAACUUUUUUUAUUUUAAGUCAUAUAUUUAUGAGUAAGUGAUCCAUUAAUUAUGAUUAAAAGAAUAAAUUACCUUAGGGAUAACAGCGUAAUUUUUUUUUAGAGUUCAAAUCGAAAAAAAAGAUUGCGACCUCGAUGUUGGAUUAAAGUUUAUUUUUGGUGUAGAAGCUAAAAUAUUGGGUCUGUUCGACCUUUAAAACUUUACAUGAUCUGAGUUUAAACCGGUGUGAGCCAGGUUGGUUUCUAUCUUUAAUAAAAAAAAUACAUUUUAGUACGAAAGGAUCAGAUGUGUGAUAAAA
rnacentral:rRNA from 1 species